rnacentral:tRNA from 1 species
GCGCCCGUAGCUCAGCUGGAUAGAGCGUUUGACUACGAAUCAAAAGGUCGCACGUUCGAGUCGUGCCGGGCGCA